rnacentral:misc_RNA from 1 species
UCCGGUUUGUCACCGGCAGUCACGUUAGAGUGCCCGGCAUAACCCGUUGGCAACUAACAUCGAGGGUUGCGCUCGUUGCGGGACUUAACCCAACAUCUCACGACACGAGCUGACGACAGCCAUGCACCACCUGUCACCGAGUUCCUUGCGGCACACCAGUGUUUCCACCGGCUUCUCGGGAUGUCAAACCUUGGUAAGGUUCUUCGCGUUGCAUCGAAUUAAACCACAUGCUCCACCGCUUGUGCGGGCCCCCGUCAAUUCCUUUGAGUUUCAGUCUUGCGACCGUACUCCCCAGGCGGGAUACUUAACGCGUUAGCUACGGCACCGCGGGGGUCGAUACCCACGACACCUAGUAUCCAUCGUUUACGGCUCGGACUAC